rnacentral:lncRNA from 1 species
GGAUCUAAGCCAUCUCCUCCAUAAAUGAACUGGAUAAUAUCGCCAGUAGAGCUUCGGACUGUCAGAUCAUACUGGGAGCAAAGAUCUUCAAGAGAUUUGACAAGCCUUCGCUAAAGGUUACCUGCAUGUAUCCCGUUUCAGCUGUCUUUACAGCCGUGUCGACUAGACCUUCCCGGCCGGCCAUUGUGUGGAAGAAAAACUCAGUUGGUGUCAAACCGGAAUAAAAGCUAUUAGCCACAAAGCCUUUGGCAGCUGGGAGCUAA